UUGGAGGGCAAGUCUGGUGCCAGCAGCCGCGGUAAUUCCAGCUCCAAUAGCGUAUAUUAAAGUUGUUGCAGUUAAAAAGCUCGUAGUUGAAUUUCGGGAUCAAUUUGCUGGUCGUGCCUUUGGUACGCACUGGUAUUAUUGGUUUCUCCUUUCUGAAGAAUCACGAUGUCAUUAAUUUGGUGUCGUGAGGAAUCAGGACUGUUACUUUGAAAAAAUUAGAGUGUUUAAAGCAGGCUCACGCUUGAAUACAUUAGCAUGGAAUAAUGAAAUAGGACGUUUGAUUCUAUUUUGUUGGUUUCUAGGAUUGACGUAAUGAUUAAUAGGGAUAGUUGGGGGCAUUAGUAUUCAAUUGUCAGAGGUGAAAUUCUUGGAUUUAUUGAAGACUAACUACUGCGAAAGCAUUUGCCAAGGAUGUUUUCAUUAAUCAAGAACGAAAGUUAGGGGAUCGAAGACGAUCAGAUACCGUCGUAGUCUUAACCAUAAACUAUGCCGACUAGGGAUCGGAUGAUGUUAAUUUUUUAAUGACUCAUUCGGCGCCUUACGGGAAAC
rnacentral:rRNA from 1 species